AGACAACUAAUUAAAAGAAAAGUGAUAAUGGGAGGAAGCCUCUGCACCACGUGCUCCAAGCAUGAAUUAAUUUUCUUCUCACAAUAUCACCACCAUACAAGACACCUACUACCACCUACCACCUCUUCAAUUGAAAUUAAAACAUUUCAUUGAAUGAAAGAAACAAAACCGUGGCCCCCUUGCUUCAACACUCAAUCAACCAUACUUCCUCAAACUAUUCCCAU
rnacentral:lncRNA from 1 species